UCGUGUCGAGAAUCUUGACAAUCCUCACAAACCAGCACGUGCACGGCACGGGAACACURACACUAAGAUGGCUUGCGAAGUUUCUGAAGUAAAACACUAGCAGUAGCAAAUGGAGGGGCAAAAAAACUAAAGACGAAACCGUUGAAUAGUACAUAACCAAGCUUUUUCGCUAUUUAUCAUUUCUCUAUUCUCAGUUGUGAUGACAAAGUAGUACUUUGUGGCCUCAAGGUCGCUUUAAGUAAUAGAUUUUUUGUCCUCGAAACUCCCAUUAGAUGAAAUGCACGCAUAACUCUAGUUUAGAUAGUAUACUGUAGCUCCAAAAACCUCAGUUAAAAUCAGCAUCUUCGUCUCUGAUCCCCAAGCAGUCAUAUUGUUUUGAUGGUCACGUGAAAAGCAGCCAUUUUGUUUCGAUGAUCACGUGAUCAAAAUCUCUAGAAAUCUUGGAGAUUUUGAUUACGUGAUCCCAGCCAAAACCAGGGUCUUCUUCACGACGACCACCAUAUUGAAUCGGAGUCGGCCGAGAGGAUCCUGGGGACGAGGUUGUUUUUCUCCUUUCUCUUUCCGCAUGYCUACUCUCCUCAGUCUUCCCCUUCUCUUCUUAACCACAGCGAUUAUAAGCGCAUAUUAAAAAGAUGAGAGAAGGCCGGGUUAGAUGUCAGAAGUAACUGCGAACGAGCAUAGGCAGAUAAUUUCUAACAUGUCUUGGAAGAACCGUUGUAUCUUUUACUGCUUGCUUGUUGUCUUCACGAUAGACCUUACAGAAGGACAAGGUUCGACCAAUGCAACUUUUGCCACAAGCACUGUUCAAACAUCGGUCAGAAGAACGUCAACAGUGGUGAACACAGCUUCUUCUGUGCAGAUAACAAUAUCUCCAACACAUGCAAGUACCAUCAUGCGAAGGUCAACCUCAACAGUAGCAUCACCAGUGCCACCAGUGCCGACAGCGCCAACAGUGUCAACAACAAAACUACCACCAACAACACCCC